rnacentral:sRNA from 1 species
CACGCGAUAGGAAAUUAAGCAACGAAUUCAACAAGUCAAGACACACUCGAAAGGAAACGAAUUCCACAAGGGAACACAAUCCGAAAUCGGACAGUUGCUAUCAAAGUAGUGGCGAAAACUCUCGCAUUUUGAUGAUUUUGAAAGGAGUAGUACGAAAUUAGUUUCACUAUUUACUGUGCCUUCCCAAACUCCUUCGACCUCCCCACCUUUAUGAAUGGAUCAACUUUUUGGUCAGUGUAUUUGAGUUCGAGCUGCUAAUGUGCACGUCCAUCACUAGCUGCCCCCCAAUGAAACCCCUUGUGGACCUAUGUAUUUAUAUGGACGACCCCUCGUUUGGCCCACACAAUGUGUCUAGGUUGGUGUGAUGGCAAAUAGGCAGUGUGCAUGUAUUUGCAAUUUAUAGGUUGCCAGGAACAUUUCAAUUAAAUAAACUGACAGUCGACUCUGGGACUGUGACACAGA